rnacentral:tRNA from 1 species
AUAUAUAUAGUAUAAAAAAUACAUUUAAUUUCCAAUUAAAAAAUUUAAUUAAAAAUAUAUAUA